rnacentral:rRNA from 1 species
AUGGAGGAGAUACAAGCCCUGAUCAAGUCUUCUUCCACUUCAUCAUCCUCAAGACGACGAUGUUCAAGCCACAAGUCUUCGGAGCGCGAAAAAGAUGCAAGUGCAAGUCGUCCAAGUCCACAUAUACAUGGCAACCACCAUCACGUUCGUGAUCAACAUCGUCAUGAAGGGCAGGUCACCUCCAAGCAACAUGUGCACGACGACGACGAACACCUACGAGCUCAAGCACGACAACGACAUCAUCAUCAUGAAGAUGCUCCACAAGCGCAAGUGCACAAGUCCCGACAAGCCCUACUUCACGCCAAGUCGAAGCUUCAUAAGCACAAGAGAAGACCGCGAGACGAGCACCACCAAGAGGGUGCUACGGCUACACCAACCACUUUGGCAUCUUCGCCAAGUGCUAUCAAGGCAUCUUCGCCUUUGGACGUACGACAUCUUCGCCUACUUCCCACGAGUACGCCUACAAUGACUUCAUCAAGUCCAAGGCGACCACCUACGAGCGAGGGCGACACUUCCAUCUUCGGAAGCCCCUCAAGGACGAUGGCCGAGCAUGGGAAACUCCCUGCGGUCAUGGAGACGAGCUACGAGGUGCCACAUCAUAUGGACCUCCAACACCAAGACGGCGACAAGACGGUCGAGCAAGGGCCAUCCCCUUCGACUACGGUGACAAGCGCGAACCUCUUCAACAACAUGAAGAUGGUGCCCAUAUUGGACUCAUCCUCCGAGUCAAGCUAUGAGACCGCGCAUGGAGACAUUUGCACCUACAUCUCUCCGACACCCACAUAUGUCGAGAUGCCACAUUUGCCAUGUGAGGAGAGCCACCACCACAUGAGUGACAUGAGUGACUCCACCAUACGUGACAUUGAGAGCAUUUCCUAUGAGAGGAUGAGUGUGACCACCACUAGCCCCACACGUGAGAGCAUGCCACACAUCCUAUGUGAGGUUGAGCGCCAUUUGAGUGACUCCACCAACAAUAUGAGUGAGUGCAUCCUUGAGGGAGUGAGUGAGCCACAACACUUAGUGAGUGAGGUAGUUGACACGGCAUGUGAGGCCACCAUGAUUUCUAAUGACUUAACCUCUACUCCUAGUGUGUUUUCUUCUUUGGUGAUAGGUCCCAUAUAUGAUGACGCGCCGAUCCUCGAUGACUUCGUCCUCCCUUUGGACAUGACGAUGGCCAUGAUGGAAUAUGAUGCACCCCCCACAUGGUUCCAUCAAGAUGAAGAUGACAACGAGACGAUCUUCAACACCUCACCUACAACACACGAGCGACGCUCCAAAGGUAACAUAGGUGAUGGUGCUUCUCUUGUCCCACUAGUGGACUCUCUUGAUAAUGAUUGCUCCCAUGAUGUUGACCCACCUAUUACCAUGCUUCAUGCUAGUCAAACUUCUUCAUGCCUUGACUUACCUAUUUAUGAUGAAUAUGAUGAUUGCCAUGAGGAGUCUAGUAGUUGUGAUGCCAUGUUACAUAGGAUUUCUUGUGAUAAUUCUCUUGGUCACAUCAUGUUUGAUAAUCCGCUUGACUUGUCAUAUGCUAUGCAUGAGAUCUCCUGUAUGUCAUAUUUGCAAUCUCAUUGUAGUGACUAUGCAUAUGCCAUUAAACUAAACCCAAUUUGCACAUAUGGCAUAGAUGACAAGCCCAUGGUUAUUGACAUUUGUUUCUCUUGUGAUGAUAUUGAUAUGCUCCUUUUGCAUCAUUUAUCUCAUAUGCCAUGCCAUGACCACCUAGCUUCGGAUAUGCAAUGUUUUGGAUGUUGUCCAUUUUCUCCAUAUGAUAUUUCCGCUAUUGCUCAUGAGGAGGCCCCUAUAGUUUCCUCGUACAUUUUAGGAGAUUUUGAUCCAUCCCAUUCAUUGCAUGAUCCCCAUACUUGUGUGCACCAUAUGAUCCCCAUGAAUAAACAUGCUUUUGAUGUGCCAUAUACUUGCAUUCUCAAUGUGUGUCCCUAUCGUGUCAUACAUAAUAACUAUUCUUUCAUGAUGGAUGACAUGUUCUUAUACCAUGCAUCAAAUUUCUUUGAGCGAUGCUUAUCUUGUGCUAACUCAUAUGUGCACAUACACAUCAUGAUGGAUGAUGUGUACAUUUACCACGCGCACAAUUUCUUUGGAUUGUGUCUCUUUUGUGUAGGUACCCAUGAAUACUUGUCAACCUCUCAAUCCCAAGAGUUGACGAAACGAGCUCUUGAGAGCAACGAUGCUUUGAGAUCCAAUGGACUAUCCUUACCACCGUCCCCUUCGCGCAAGGACUACGCACAACUCCUCUACUUGGCUCUCACACGGCUAUGGGCCAUUUACCACUUGUCACAUUAUGCUCAUUUUACCGUGUUCACUUUGCAUGCUAUGAUUGCUUCUAUGCCUUUGCCAUGCAAUUGUGACCCUUGCUCAUCAUUAUGCUACUUCUAUGUGUAUUUGCAUGAUUGGUGGAGAUCCUUGUUGCUAUUGACAUGUUUAUCAUGUGCCCCAUGCUAUUGA